CUCCUCCUCCUUUAGCUUUGUGAUCAAUCUAAGAGAGAUAUGAGGCUUGUAAAAGGUUGUCUCCUAAACUUGUAAAAAGGAGAAAGAGUUGUAAGAAGGUAACUGGUCUUUGCCCAUUGAAGGAAGACCGAUAGUAGAUGCCGAUGGCCUAAACGGAGGAGGAAUCAGGAGUGGAUGUAGGUUACGGCCAUUGUGUUGAAUCUCGGAUUUUGAUGAUGAAAUCAAUUGAUGGG
rnacentral:lncRNA from 1 species